GUCCACGCCGUAAACGAUGGAUACUAGCUGUUCGGCGCAAGUUGAGUGGCUAAGCGAAAGUGAUAAGUAUCCCACCUGGGGAGUACGCACGCAAGUGUGAAACUCAAAGGAAUUGACGGGGGCCCGCACAAGCGGUGGAGCAUGUGGUUUAAUUCGAUGAUACGCGAGGAACCUUACCAGGGCUUAAAUGUAGAUUGACAGGUCUGGAAACAGACUUUUCUUCGGACAAUUUACAAGGUGCUGCAUGGUUGUCGU
rnacentral:rRNA from 1 species